rnacentral:misc_RNA from 1 species
GUUUUUGUAUUUUAUCUUUCCGCAGUACAAAAAAAAUAUUAUAUUGAUUAUAAAAAUCACAUUAAGAAAAAACAAAGUGCAUAUCUACAUGGCCCAAUGAAAAGAACUUCACUUUCACAUGCGUGGGCCAUAAGUAAAAAAUACAAAAGAAAUUAGAAAAAGAGAAAUAUCCCUCUACAGAAAAGAGAGAGCGCCAAAAAAAUCCAUGUCAGCAUAAUCUUUACUACUACAAAAGCAAUAUGGGCCACAGCUAUGGGCAAUUCGUGGGUCAUUGCCCUGCAACCUCUUCACCCAUCGAGCUCCAACUGCCUUCCGCUACCGUCCGAUUAUCGUAAUCUUCACCGUCGUCGUCCAGAUCAUCAUCACUAGAAUCUUCGUCGUCGUCCUUGUCGUCAUCUGCAGCUGCACCAUUAUCUUCGUCGGAAGACAGCGGCACAAGCCAACAUGUACCGUACAAGUGCCCAUUUAAACACACAAAAUACUCUAACCCGCCCUCGCUUGAUCCAAGCCGCCUAGCCGCGCUCUUCGGCACCAGCCGAGCUGAAGUCAUACUCCAUACGCGAAACCCACAAUAAGGGCACCGCAAUCUUUUCUCUAGCUCUACCUGCCGUCUGAUCAAGCAUUCCCUCGUUCUUGAUUUCAUAAAUCCCCGAAAUACCCCUCUGUAAAUACCCAAAUCAUCUUCAUUAUCUCCCGUUGGAUGCUCACACGGGUCGCU